UACGGGGGGAGCAAGCGUUGUUCGGAUUUACUGGGCGUAAAGGGCGCGUAGGCGGUCGUGACAAGUCACUUGUGAAAUCUCCGGGCUUAACUCGGAACGGUCAAGUGAUACUGUCGGACUAGAGUACAGAAGGGGCAACUGGAAUUCUCGGUGUAGCGGUGAAAUGCGUAGAUAUCGAGAGGAACACCUGUGGCGAAGGCGGGUCUCUGGGCCGAUACUGACGCUGAGGAGCGAAAGCGUGGGGAGCGAACAGG
rnacentral:rRNA from 1 species